CAACUAGAGAGUUUGAUCCUGGCUCAGAGCGAACGUUAGCGGCGGGCUUAACACAUGCAAGUCGUACGAGAACGGCCCUUCGGGGCUUAGUAAAGUGGCGCACGGGUGCGGAACACGUAGGUAACCUACCCUCCGGCGGGGGAUAACGUCCCGAAAGGGGCGCUAAUACCGCGUAAGACCACACUGCCUGCGGGCAGAGUGGGAAAAGAUGGC
rnacentral:rRNA from 1 species